GGAGCUUGUAUCCUGGAGAUCUAACUGACAGAAGAGAGAUGGAAUUCAUCACUGUCAUUUUGUCUGCCAUCAAGCUGGAAACAGAUGUGGGAGGUAGAACAUUCCUGAUCUUCAGAAAUACCAUCUUGUUGAUGAAAUCCUCCAUCUAGUGGUAUGCCCAUUUUCAGUUGAUUCUGCAUUUGGGUAACCAGGGCAGCACAGUAAUACUCAUGGUUAUUUGGAAUAUGCUAAGGUAACAAGAACGCUGGCAUGACAAAUGGUGUUGGUUAAAAAGAAUUAUGCAACGCUACAAGGAGAAACCUGUACCAGAUUUGCACCAAUUAAGAACUUCUCAAGAGAGUUACAUUCUGGAAUGUCCAUUUUGCUAAGGAUAUUGCACAGCUUGAUAUGUCAACCAAAUUAAAGGCCUUUCUAUAAUCUGCAAA